rnacentral:rRNA from 1 species
AUUGAACGCUGGCGGCAGGCCUAACACAUGCAAGUCGAGCGGAUGAAGGGAGCUUGCUCCUGGAUUCAGCGGCGGACGGGUGAGUAAUGCCUAGGAAUCUGCCUGGUAGUGGGGGAUAACGUCCGGAAACGGGCGCUAAUACCGCAUACGUCCUGAGGGAGAAAGUGGGGGAUCUUCGGACCUCACGCUAUCAGAUGAGCCUAGGUCGGAUUAGCUAGUUGGUGGGGUAAAGGCCUACCAAGGCGACGAUCCGUAACUGGUCUGAGAGGAUGAUCAGUCACACUGGAGCUGAGACACGGUCCAGACUCCUACGGGAGGCAGCAGUGGGGAAUAUUGGACAAUGGGCGAAAGCCUGACCCAGCCAUGCCGCGUGUGUGAAGAAGGUCUUCGGAUUGUAAAGCACUUUAAGUUGGGAGGAAGGGCAGUAAGUUAAUACCUUGCUGUUUUGACGUUACCAACAGAAUAAGCACCGGCUAACUUCGUG